rnacentral:piRNA from 1 species
UAGGAAAGGCUACAUGGAUUUCAAAUGGUC